GAUGAACGCUGGCGGCGUGCCUAGUACAUGCAAGUCGAGCGAACAGAUGAGGAGCUUGCUCCUCUGACGUUAGCGGCGGACGGGUGAGUAACACGUGGAUAACCUACCUAUAAGACUGGGAUAACUUCGGGAAACCGGAGCUAAUACCGGAUAAUAUAUUGAACCGCAUGGUUCAAUAGUGAAAGACGGUUUUGCUGUCACUUAUAGAUGGAUCCGCGCCGCAUUAGCUAGUUGGUAAGGUAACGGCUUACCAAGGCAACGAUGCGUAGCCGACCUGAGAGGGUGAUCGGCCACACUGGAACUGAGACACGGUCCAGACUCCUACGGGAGGCAGCAGUAGGGAAUCUUCCGCAAUGGGCGAAAGCCUGACGGAGCAACGCCGCGUGAGUGAUGAAGGUCUUCGGAUCGUAAAACUCUGUUAUUAGGGAAGAACAAAUGUGUAAGUAACUAUGCACGUCUUGACGGUACCUAAUCAGAAAGCCACGGCUAACUACGU
rnacentral:rRNA from 1 species